rnacentral:lncRNA from 1 species
CAUGAAGGUGAUUUUGCGAUUUGACAUAAAGUUCAAAUUGAGCCUAUUGUACCUAGGAAAUUUUAAGGUUCUAAAGAAAGUGGGUUUGAUUGAGUACAAUAUGGCCUUACCCCGUAGUAUGUCCAUGGUUCACACCAUAUUCCAUGUAUUUUAUACCAAAGAAAUCUCAUAGAUAUUGGGACAAUAUUAUCAAUUCAGACUCAGAAUCAAUGGACAAACUAUAGCCCUAUGAACGAGAACUAAUUACUAUUCUAGCUAAUUAUGUGUUGAAAUUGAGGACAUGAAUUAUUAUGCAUUUGAAGUGUUCAGUUGAGGAAACAUACUUUUGAAGAGGCUACAUAGGAGAUAGAAGUAGACAUCCAUAAGCGGUAUAUGUACUUGGUCAUUGAUUCAGGUACAACAUAUUCUAGUUGUUAUUUUUCUUAGCCAUUCUCAUUUUAGAAGUAACUUGUCG